GUCGCUUUAGCUCACUUGGGAGAGCGUCAGACUGAAGAAUCAGGCCGUCAAACGCCUCAAACUUCGGUUCAACUCGAAUUUGAUAUCUGAAGGUACUGUGUUCGAUCCACAGAAGCGACA
rnacentral:tRNA from 1 species